rnacentral:rRNA from 1 species
GAAAGAACACAGAGAAAAUGAAUAAGAACAACUUUGAGCGGUGGAUCACUCGGCUCGUGCG